GCUUUACACAUGCAAGUCGAACGGCAGCACGGGGGCAACCCUGGUGGCGAGUGGCGAACGGGUGAGUAAUACAUCGGAACGUGCCCAGUCGUGGGGGAUAACGCAGCGAAAGCUGCGCUAAUACCGCAUACGAUCUACGGAUGAAAGCGGGGGAUCGCAAGACCUCGCGCGAUUGGAGCGGCCGAUGGCAGAUUAGGUAGUUGGUGGGGUAAAGGCUCACCAAGCCAACGAUCUGUAGCUGGUCUGAGAGGCCGACCAGCCACACUGGGACUGAGACACGGCCCAGACUCCUACGGGAGGCAGCAGUGGGGAAUUUUGGACAAUGGGCGCAAGCCUGAUCCAGCCAUUCCGCGUGCAGGAUGAAGGCCCUCGGGUUGUAAACUGCUUUUGUACGGAACGAAACGGUCCGUGGUUAAUACCUGGGGCUAAUGACGGUACCGUAAGAAUAAGCACCGGCUAACUACGUGCCAGCAGCCGCGGUAAUACGUAGGGUGCAAGCGUUAAUCGGA
rnacentral:rRNA from 1 species